rnacentral:lncRNA from 1 species
GCCUCGGCCUCCCAAAGUGCUGGGAUUACAGGCGUGAGCCACCAUGCCCAGCCCAUUGUUGCAAUUUUAACCUCUUUUCUCCUGUCCCCGAAGCUUACCCCUCAGUUUCUUUUUUUGUUUCUUUUUUUUUUUUUUUUUUUGAGAUGGACUUUUGCUCUGUCGCCCAGGCUGGAGUGCAAUGGCAUGAUCUCGGCUCACUGCAACCUCCACCUCCUGGGUUUAAGCGAUUCUCCUGCCUCAGCCUCCCGAGUAGCUGGGAUUACAGGUGCACGCCACCACACCCAGCUAAUUUUUGUAUUUUUAGUAGAGACGGGGUUUCACCAUAUUGGCCAGGAUGGUCUCGAUCUCUUCACCUUGUGAUCUGCCCACCUUGGCCUCCCAAACUGCUGGGAUUACAGACAUGAGCCACUGUGCCUGGCCAUCCCUCACUUUCUUUUCCUGCUCUUUUUUGCUGCUAAGAUAUAGAAGGUAGAGCCAUUGGGGCUUAAGGAGAUGGGCUUUAUGAGUCAACUUGCCCAAAUUCAAAUCCCAGACUUAACACUGGCUGUGUGGCAUUGAGGAAGUGCCUCAAGUUCUCUGUGCCUCAGCUUCCUCAUCUGUAGACUGGGAAUGAUACUGUUAGGUUGGUGCCAAAGUAAUUGCAGUUUUUGGUCAGGCACGGUGGCUCACGCCUGUAAUCCCAGCACUUUGAGAGGCCGAGGUGGUGAAUCACAAGGUCAGGAGUUCAAGACCAGCCAGACCAACAUGGUGAAAUCCCGUCUCUACUAAAAAUACAAAAAUGAGCCCAGCGUGGUGGCACGUGCCUAUAAUCCCAGCUACUUGGGAGGCUGAGGCAGGAGAAUCGCUUGAGCCCUGGAGGCGGAGGUUGUAGGGAGCCAAGCUCAUGCCACUGCACUCCAGGCUGGGCAACAGAGUGAGACUCCAUCUCAAAAAAAUAAAUAAAUAAUUAUUAUUUGGUAGAGAUGGGGUUUUCCCAUGUUGGCCAGGCUGGUCUCAAACUCCUGGCCUCAAGUCAUCUGAACGCCUUGGCCUAGUUUUGGUAUUUUUAUUAGAGACGAGGUUUCACCAUGUUGGCCAGGCUGGUCGCGAACUCCUGACCUCAAGUGAUCUGCCCGCCUUGGCCUCUUAAAAUUUUUACUUUUUUUUAGUGAUGAGGUCUGCCUCUGUUGCCCAGGCUGGAGUGCAGUGGUGUCAUCAGCUCACUGGAGGCUCAGCCUCCCUGGGCUCAAGUGAUCCUCCCUCCUCAGCCUUCUGAGUAGCUGGGACUAGGGGUGCGCUCCACACACACAGCUAAUUUUGAAAUUUUUUGUAAAGAUGGGAUCUCUCUAGGUUGCCCAGGCUGAUCUCAAACUCCUGGGCUCUAGCGAUCCUCCUGCUUCAGCCUCCCAAAGUGCUAAAAUUACAACUAUGAGCCACCCUGCUCGGUUUUGUUUUUUUACAUUGUUUAGUGGUAGAAAGAAGUCAAAAGAAUACUUUGUGACACGUGAAAAGUACAUGUGAUUCACAUUUCAGUGUGUGUAAAGUUUGAUUGGCACACAGCCACGUUUAUUCAUGACCAUGCCGUCUAUGGCAGCUUUUGUGCACUAGGGCACAGCCAAGCAGGUGCAAUGGGGAUGAUAUGUCCUGCAAAGAUGAAAAUAUUUACUCUCUGGCUCUUUACAGAAAAAGUUUGCCCACCCCUGAGUUAAUGUAUCAUGAGCACUUUGAACAAUGCUGGGCACAAAAUGUGCUUGGGAUUGUUAUUCAAAAUGUGUUUCAGGUCGGGCGUGGUGGUUCACGCCUGUAAUCCCAGCACUUUGGGAGACUGAAGAGGGCAGAUCACCUGAGGUCAGGAGUUCAAGACCAGCCUGGCUGACACGGUGAAACCCAUUUUAAUCUCUACUAAAAAUACAAAAAUUAGCCAGGUGUGGUGGUGCGUGCCUGUAAUCCCAGCUACUCAGGAGGCUGAGGCAGGAGAAUCACUUGAACCCAUGAGGCAGAGGUUGCAGUGAGCCGAGAUCGUGCCGCUGCACUCCAGCCUGGGCGACAGAGCGAAACUCCAUCUCAAAAAAAAAAAAAAAAUGUGUUUCAGGCUGGGCGAGGUGGCUCAUGACUGUAAACCCAACACUUUGGGAAGCCAAGAUGAGAGGAUCGUUUGAGCCCUGGAGUUCAAGACCACCUUGGGCCACAGAGCAGAUACCACCUCCACAAAAAAAUUUUAAAAAAUUAGCCAGUUGUGGUGGUGCACUCCUGUGUAGCCCCAGCUGCUCAGGAGGCUGAGGUAGGAGAUCCCUUGAGCCCAGGAGGACAAGGCUGCAGUGAACUAUUAUUGCACCACUGCACUCCAGCCUGGGUGACAGAGCAAGACCCUGUGUCAAAAAAGAAAUGUACAAAGGUUAAAAAAAUAUAUAUGGUUGGCCGGGCGCGGUGGCUCACGCCUAUAAUCCCAACACUUUGGGAGGCCGAGGCAGGCGGAUAAUGAGAUCAGGAGAUCGAGACCAUCCUGGCUAACACGGUGAAACCCCAUUUCUACUAAAAAUACAAAAACAAAAUUAGCCAGGCGUGGUGGCGGGCGCCUGUAGUCUCAGCUACUUGGGAGGCUGAGUCAGGAGAAUGGUGUGAACCCAGGAGGCGGAGCUUGCAGUGAGCCGAGAUCGUGCCACUGCACUCCAGCCUGGGCUACAGAGCUAGACUCUGUCUCCAAAAAAAAAAAAAUAUAUAUGGUUCACACAAAAAUUAUAUCCUAUGUUGUUCUCUAUAAACAUCCCAUCAUAUUAUGUCUCCCAGACCACUGACAAUUUUUGGAAGCCUCACUCUGCCAUCUCGUGAAAUGUCCUCCACAGUCCCCUACUGUUGGACACUUAAGCUGUUCCCAGUUGCUAAGACGGAGCUGCAGGGACAGCCUCGCGUUUUAAGCUAGAUUUGCUUUUAUGUAACAAUUACUUCUACAUCAUUCACUAUGUGUUAAGUCCUAUCUCUGGGCACUUUGCAAAUAUCAACUUAUUUCAUGCUCACUCCAACUCCCAUAAACUCCCCAUUUUGCAGAUGGGAAAACGGAGGUUCUGUAGGUUGAAGUGACUUGCCCAGGGUCACACUACCAGGAUAUGAACUCAGGCUGGACAGGUCCUGUCAGUGCCCUGAGACGCCCUUUUCCUUCCCUACGGUAGAGACCCAGGAGCUAAAUCACUCUGUCAAAGGGGAACAAAAAUUCUUGCCAGACAUGGUGGCUCACACCUGUCAUCCCAGCACUUUGGGAGGCCAAGACGGGUGAGUUAUGUGAGCCCAGGAGUUUGAGACCAGACUGGGCAACAUGGUGAAACCCCAUCUCUACUAAAAAUACAAAUAUUAGCUGGGCAUGGUGGUACAUGCCUGUAGUCCCAGCUGCUCAGGAGGCUGAGGUGGGAGGACUGCUUGAGCCCAGGAGUUGGAGGCUGCGGUGAGCCAUGAUGAGGCCACUGCACUGUGGCCUGGGCAACACAGUGAGACCCUGUAGAAAAAGGAAAGAAAGGAAAGAAAAGAAAGGGAAGGAAAAGAAAGAAAGCAAAUGACCAUGCAAUGAAUUUUACAGAAAUGCACUUGGUAGGGGACCCAUCCCAUUCCUCAGCCUUUGACCAAGAAACAUAUGUUUUUAUUUUAUUUUAAUUAAUUAGUUAAUUAAUUUUUUGAGACAGAGUUUUGCCUCGUCGCCCAGGCUAGAGCGCAAUGGCAUGAUCUCGGCUCACUGAAACCUCUGCCUCCCAGGUUCAAGCGAUUCUCCUGUCUCAGCCCCCUGAGUAGCUGGGAUUACAGGCAUGUGCCACCACCCCCGGCUAAUUUUUGCCUUGUUAGUAGACACAGGGUUUCAUCAUGUCUGCCAGGCUGGUCUCGAACUCCUGACCUCAGGUGAUCUGCCUGCCUCAGCCUCCCAAAGUGCUGGGAUUACAGGCGUGAGCCACCACACCCAGCCUAUUUUAUUUAUUUUUGAGACAGGGUCUCACUCUGUUGCCCAGCCUAGAGUGCAACGGCACGAUCAUAGCUCGCUGCAACCUCUGCCUUCAGGGCUCAAGCCAUCCUCCCACUUCAGCCUCUGGAGUAGCUGGGACCACAGGUGUGCACCACCAUGCCCAGCUAAAUGUUUGUAUUUUGUGUAUAGACGUGGUCUUGUGUCUUGUCAUGUUACCCCAGCUGGUCUUGAACUCCUGGCCUCAAGCAAUCCUCAUGCCU